UUUCAAAGGCCAGGCGAUCAAUUUCCCAAGCUUCUUUGCCACCGUUUCUUCACGUCGACUUCUUAUCGUUAGCUUCCCAAGCUAACAGGAUUUGUAACAUCGCAGGAAACGUUUUUUUCGGAAACGGUGAACAAUCUUUUAGGAUUUUCUGGUCGCGCGAAGGCGAAAUUCGUAAAGGGACAACACAGAGGACACACUGCGGGAGCGAAUUCAGCACCGUCGCGUCGACGUGCUACGUCGGGUUUCGAAAGGGAUGCGAACGCGUCGACGGACUCUGCGAAACUGAGGUGUACACGCCGGUUUAACGAGCGCGUAGGUGCAGCACGCACGUCGGUCGCAAACACACUGACUGUUUUCCAAGUUUCGCGAAUCACGUCGAUGCUGUUUACAUAGAUGAAGACGGAGUUGAACCGCUCGGAAAUUUCUAUUCGAGGGUCACGGUGAAUCAUUUUGAAGCAGAAUGAGGGACCACGUAAAUUGCUUCAACUACAACCUGCAUCCUUCGAUAGUAAAACAGGCAGAAGAUCGAGCGUAAAACCUGAACUUUAUAGACAAUAUCUCAAAUGUGCAGCAGAGUUUUAUUUGACAAAAUAGAACUAGAGCCGUAUAAAAAUC